rnacentral:rRNA from 1 species
GACAAACGCUGGCGGCGUGCCUAAUACAUGCAAGUCGAGCGAAGUUUUUCUGGUGCUUGCACCGGAAAAACUUAGCGGCGAACGGGUGAGUAACACGUAAAGAACCUGCCUCAUAGACUGGGACAACUAUUGGAAACGAUAGCUAAUACCGGAUAAUAGCAUUAACUGCAUGGUUGAUGUUUAAAAGUUGGUUUUGCUAACACUAUGAGAUGGCUUUGCGGUGCAUUAGCUAGUUGGUGGGGUAAAGGCCUACCAAGGCGACGAUGCAUAGCCGACCUGAGAGGGUGAUCGGCCACACUGGGACUGAGACACGGCCCAGACUCCUACGGGAGGCAGCAGUAGGGAAUCUUCCGCAAUGGGCGAAAGCCUGACGGAGCAACGCCGCGUGAGUGAAGAAGGAUUUCGGUUCGUAAAGCUCUGUUGUUAGGGAAGAAUGAGUGUGUAGUAACUAUACACAGUAGAGACGGUACCUAACCAGAAAGCCACGGCUAACUACGUG